GAUGAACGCUGGCGGCGUGCCUAAUACAUGCAAGUCGAGCGAACAGACGAGGAGCUUGCUCCUCUGACGUUAGCGGCGGACGGGUGAGUAACACGUGGAUAACCUACCUAUAAGACUGGGAUAACUUCGGGAAACCGGAGCUAAUACCGGAUAAUAUAUUGGACCGCAUGGUUCAAUAGUGAAAGACGGUUUUGCUGUCACUUAUAGAUGGAUCCGCGCCGCAUUAGCUAGUUGGUAAGGUAACGGCUUACCAAGGCAAUGAUGCGUAGCCGACCUGAGAGGGUGAUCGGCCACACUGGAACUGAGACACGGUCCAGACUCCUACGGGAGGCAGCAGUAGGGAAUCUUCCGCAAUGGGCGAAAGCCUGACGGAGCAACGCCGCGUGAGUGAUGAAGGUCUUCGGAUCGUAAAACUCUGUUAUUAGGGAAGAACAAAUGUGUAAGUAACUAUGCACGUCUUGACGGUACCUAAUCAGAAAGCCACGGCUAACUACGUG
rnacentral:rRNA from 1 species